rnacentral:rRNA from 1 species
UGGGGAAUUUUCCGCAAUGGGCGCAAGCCUGAUCCAGCCAUGCCGCGUGAGUGAAGAAGGCCUUAGGGUUGUAAAGCUCUUUCAGUCGUGACGAUGAUGACGGUAGCGACAGAAGAAGCCCCGGCUAACUCCGUGCCAGCAGCCGCGGUAAGACGGAGGGGGCAAGCGUUGUCCGGACUCACUGGGCGUAAAGGGCGCGCAGGCGGGACGGCGCGUCGGCGCUGAAAGCGCCCGGCUUAACCGGGCGCGGCGCGGCGAUACGACCGACCUGGAGGGAGGCAGAGGGUGGCGGAAUUCCGGGUGUAGUGGUGAAAUGCGUAGAGAUCCGGAGGAACGCCUGUGGCGCAAGCGGCCGCCUGGGCCUGACCUGACGCUGAGGCGCGAAAGCGUGGGGAGCGAACCGGAUUAGAUACCCCCGUAGUCC